rnacentral:rRNA from 1 species
UACGAAGGGAGCAAGCGUUAUUCGGAAUUACUGGGCGUAAAGUGCGCGUAGGCGGUUUUCUAAGUCAGUUGUUAAAGCCCAUGGCUUACCCAUGGAAGUGCAAUUGAUACUGGUUAACUAAGAGGACAAGAGAGAGGAGUGGAAUUCUCGGAGUAGCGGUAAAAUGCGUAGAUCUCGAGAGGAACACCGAUGGCGAAGGCAGCUUCUUGGCUUGUACCUGACGCUGAGGCGCGAAAGCGUGGGGAGCAAACAGG